GGUUGUCCUGUGGGUGUUUCUUUAGGGCCUGGAUGUUCAUCAAUUGCAUAUGGGAUGACUGAAGAACUUGGACCUUUUUCACAUUGAGAAAGACGAGAAGACUCUUUAUUUGAACCCUUAUGCUUGGAACCAAGGUAUGUAGGCUCCAAUGAUUUCUCGUUCUCAUAUAUAACAAAACACAGCAGCAUAAGUAGUGAAUAUGAUAUCUGCUCUCUUAUGAUCUAUGGGCCUGAUGAAUACUGCAUAAGUUCAAAAUCUGUAGGUUAAGCAAUAGGUUGCUAAAGGAACUGUGUGCUAAAUUCGUGCACUGAAAGUUGAAGUGGCUUGAGGUUUCAAUUGAACUGUGGUGAAAUCUGCGGACACCAUGUUCCACAGUAAGCCAAGCCAUAUCAAGGUACAACUCAGUAGGAAAUGAAAAAACAACAAACUUGAAGGGAUACAUGGUUGGAAAUGCUUUAGCGGAUGAUUAUCAUGACCAUUUGAGGCUUGUUCGAGUUUAUGUGGUCUGCUGGCAUGAUUUCCGAUGAGUCAUAUAAGCAGUUGAAUCUUUUAUGCGAUUCCCUGUCAUUUAUCCAUCCCUCUGGACAGUUUGAUAAGACUCUGGAUAUGGCUUCUGAGGAACAUGGAGAAAUUGAUCCAUAUAGCAUCCUUACUCCUCUGUGCCCUGCUACUUCUAGCUUGUCAAGUCAGCAAAAGAAGAGAUGGCACAUGGUUGGUUGCAUUGGACGGACAUACCAUCCAUGCACGCACCGAGAAGCAUUCAGUUGUCUACUUCAAUCAACCUGAGGUUCCAAAGGCACUUCAUGUUCACAGUGAAAAGGCACUAUCUAAAUGGGAUAUAUAACUGCAGGUAGAUUUUCUUAAUUACGUAAAUUUUCGAUUACAUCUAAGCUAGUUUUUUUGUGGACAACAUUAUGUUGUCUGGUUACAAUGCUUUCUGAUGAUUCGAUUAGUAAUUCCUACUUCCAUUUAGUGGAGCUUGAUGUUCAUCUGCUAACAAUAUCUAAUCAGUUUUAGUAAGAUCUUUAUGAUAUAGAACAAAGAUUUAUAUCAAAGGAGGAUGACUUGAAACCACCUGUCUUGAGCAGACCAUUAGAACUUAACAUGUUUGGGAAGAACAAUAUAUAGAACCCAACAAUCUAAUUAGCUCCCAUAUGGUGAUAUGCGGAUGGUAUUUUAAUCCAACAAACAGAUUAUGUCCACAACACUUGUAUUAUGCUACCGGGCUUGAAAUUUUCAUGUCCCUUGCGUGAUGUGUAAAUUUCAUAUUAUAUCUAGUACAUACCAAGUACCAAAUUCUUUUCCUUUGGUGAGUCUACAUUCACACAAAAUCCCGCACGAAUCCAGUUAUUAUCUAGUGCAAUGGGAGAAUUGUUGGUUAUCGGCAUCUUGUUGAGUAAUUAAUGAGGUCUCACUGAUCAAGUUGCACACUGAUCUAUGGUUGCAUCAUCCCCGAGGUGGGCAAAUUAAGUUCAUGAAGAACUGGAUUGUUGCUUGAUUUUACUAGGUACCAGUGAUUCGAUACAUCGACUAGUGAUAAUUUUAUCUUGGCAUUCAGUGCACCGUAGCUACAACAUAGCCAUUGUCCAGGGCAGAGAUGAAGGGCAGAUACGAGCGAUCCAUCAAAAUAUAGGGGGUAAUUCAUUAGUGAGUAUUCAUGCUUUAAAACUCCACACCAGACCAGAUGUGUUUCAGGAUCUACAAGGAUCCUUUACUUAUGGAAUCAUAUUGUGUAACUGUCACCAAUUGGCAAUGAGGGGAUAGGCCGUCCAGGCUUAUAUGCUAGUUUGGGAGGUUAUAAUUAACCCAUGCGGGACAAGCUCUAACAACUUUAAUAUGGGAUAGUCAGCCUUCUCUAUUGUGAGGGUCAUUUUAUUUGAUUACUCCAUGAGAGGGUAGUUAAUUUUCUUGUGCAUGAAGUUCCCCAUCUACUCCUCUCUUGGAGUCAUGAGAAUUGACACGGUUAUAGAGCAGAUGUGUUUAGAGUCGUCCAAUGCACAUGGACCCCAUAAGAUGCACGCGAGAUCUACACUGCACAUAUCAAACGGCUCCAAACGUAUCUCUGUUUUAGAUAUAUGUGUCCCAACCAUUUGCCUAAGGUCAUACAAGCAGCCACAUUAAACAGAAACUCAUAUGUGGUCCCGAUAGAAAUAGCUGAGUUGCUGCAUUAAGAUUAGUGUAUAGUAUACAUGUACCACUAUAUAUCAACAAAGUUGAGGGAAAUCAGGCGGAAACAUAUUGAUGCAAUCCUGCGCACCUGCAACUUAAUCAGUUCAUGGUAUGCCGCAAGGCAUAAUGGUGUAUCUCGGAAAACUACGUAAUACGAGCACACACACACGCACAAAUAAAACUUACUUUUUCAAGUAUUUUUUCACAUAUUGAUUGCUCAUCCAUUUUAGGAAGAAAACAGAGGAGUGAGAGAUAGUUGUAGGCUUGUAGCACGUCGAAUCCUACUUUUUCUUUCUGCGAUGAAUGGUUUAAAGAAUAGCAGCAGGGACUUUUAGUUGUGUGUGUGUGUGUGUGUGUGUGUGAGAGAGAGAGAGAGAGAGAGAGAGAGAGAGAGAGAGAGAGAGAGAGACCAUAUCCCUUUGGAGAUCCUAUAGGUGAGAGCUGGUAAGGAGAGGAGAAGAUCGUUCUUUUCCCUCAACUCUUCACUUACAAUAAUUUUUGUUGAUCUGCUGUUCUUGACUAUUUCAUCAACCUCAUAUCAUCCAGAAUCAAGAUCCUCAUGCGAUCAUCCUUGUCAAAUUUCUCAUGUGACACAUUAGGGAAUUCAUCACGAUAUUCAAGCCGUUCAGUUUUUAGCCUUGGAUGUAUUUGUCAUUUGUGCACAAAAUGAUUAUGAUUGGAUACUGAUAAAAAAUCGAUCGAGUGCACCAGAUAGGGUAGGAAAUUAUGUUCAGCAUGUGCAAAUUAUGUUUUGUACUAAAAGAGAAGAAGCCUUCAAUUGAGAUUAGUCUGUAAUGAAAUGUGAGAAGUGAAUGUCAAAUAGAUGGGAGAAGAAAAUUAGGGUGACAGCUUUUUUCUCUUCACCGUAGUAUUUUUUAGUAGUUAGAAGGGUAGUUUAGGAAAUUAAAAGUGAGAGCCGGCUUCAUAAUUGCCAUUGCCGUUGCCACUGAGGAGGGUGUUCCCUUUAUUUUACGUAUAUACAUACACACACGGAAUACAUUAUUAUAAAUUUUACUAUGUCAUAAGGAGUAUAUGAUUGUCACGUACUAACUAAAACAUGAUUGAGGUUAUCUUAGCUAAGGUAGUUACCAGGCCAUGCCCAUCAAAGAUAUUGUAUAUAUAUAUAUAUUUAGAUAAACACUAGCAAAGAACACUAUAAUUCCUACCUAAACCUAUUUAAACAACUAUGAUGACAUUCAACUGGAAUCUGAAUUAAGGGCUAGAUUGGAUAAGGAUCGACUUUUUUUCCAUUUAUGACCAUAACCAGGAAAUAUAUAGCCCAUCCGCUCUGCCACUGUUCGGGCAAACAAAUAAGCCAGUAAACUUAUUUAUUUGUGAUGUGAUACUAUUAAAUGUCCUGUGGGUAUUUAAUCUGGGUUAAAAUAUGAUUAUAUCCAGCCAAACAAACGAGCGCAUAAUAUUUUCUUCAUGUAUAUAUAUUGCUAUUUAUUUAGUUACAGUAAUGUUUGAUGAAGCUUCUUUUUCUUUUUUUGGUGGGGGGAGGGGGAAGUAGUUUCAUUUCACCAAAAAUGCGCAAAAGCUACAAAAUCAACGGGGCUUCCCCCUGAACAACUCAUUACAAGCACCAAACAGACCUAUACAGAUUGGAAACAACCAAACAAAAGCAGGACCCUUUUGACAAUUGCUAAGCCUAAAGCUCUAGAAUCAAGUAUCCACUCAUCACAAAUUAAAAUCCCUAUUAAUAGGAGAAAACUUGACAGAAGUCAAUGAACUGAGUUUGGCCCGGAUCGAGUCGAAAAUUGCAGAAGCUAACCCAUACACAUCCUUGUUUUUAUUCUGGGAAAACAUAAUUCGCAUGCCUGAAGGAAGAGCUUUCAAUAGAGGAU